GCCGGAGGAAGGACGUUUGUGGUUGGUGGACUCAGCCCGAGCCGGGAAGUUCGAACGGAAGUCCGAGAGCCAGAGUUGAGAGAGGGCAGCUGUUUGGGCCCAUGCGCAGUAGCUGCUGCUCAGGGUCCGACUUUCGUCAGGCCUGAAGUGACUUUGGGUGUGAAGGAGAUUCCUGGAAAGAAGUCAGAACUUGAAGUUUCUGCAGGAGUGAUUAGCUGAUUAAAACUUCAGUGACUGGGGAGAAAUUAUAAUGUUGUGGACUGAUGAAUGAAUAAUCAUAUGCUGAAGGGAACAGGAAGUACUUGUGUUUAGAAAGAAAAAUAAUUGUAGCAAAUGCUAAAUAUUUCAAAGGAGUCUUAGUAUCUCUGAGAUAAUUGAGGCCUUUGAGAAAUACAAAAGAAGAGCUGAAGAGCAAAGAAACAAGCAGAAGAAAAGAGAACUCCCCAUUCCCCCAGUCAAAGAGUUACAACCCUGCAGGACCUUUUCACAGGAAAGCAGCAGCUCUCUCUCAAUUUGUCUUCAGAGGUAUGGGUGAUGUUUAUGUGCCGUGUCAUAGACUGUAGCUACUUCUUAUGUGUCUCCUGGUGACCAUGAUGUUUUCUCUCAUCUUCUUCAUCUCCACAAAAUCGAUCCUGCUAAUUCCGAUUUCCCUACAGUCAUCUGUACAAAUGGACUUUACCUUCUGGCCUUUUAUUCUUUCUCAGAACCAGACUUCCAAUAUCAAUAAGAGGUCUUACAAGAACAAAGUUACUCUACCCAGUUGAGUAAAGUUCCUCCUUUCUGAUUCUUUGUGAUCUUCAGCAGGCAUCUUGUUGUUAGUGUGCAAACCUCCACAGCGCAGCUGUAAGAGGAAGGUAACACUGCCAGCAUUCAAGUCUUUAUCUGGGUAAAUCCCUUGCUAACCUAUAAACGUUGGUAUGUAAUUAAACUGAUUUUGUAUCAAAUGUAUACACAAGUCAGAUUUGGUACAUAGGCUACAAAUAUUUUAACUUUUCUGGUUGAAGGUUACAAAUGGCUAUGUAAGUCCAGGAGAUGAAGAGAAAGAGAUAAGAUCUUUAAAUGUGGCUCCCUCUAAGAGACGGAAAGGGAAAAACUAUGUGAUUUAAUUGAUGUUCUUCCAAAUACUGAAUUUUUUUUCAAUUAUUCUUU
rnacentral:sRNA from 1 species